GUUUUCUAAAGGAUUUCUUCAUAUCUGUGACUAGCUUUGGGAGGUGCUCUGUAAUACAUUCCUAAAACUAUGUUCCUUUGAGUCCCCUGGUCCAGGAUCCUUCAGCUACGACACUCAGUGGAAUAAAUUGUUUAUCCAUUAGCAGUUGAGCAAGAUAUACUUCUCUUUGGGGGAUAUUUUCUUUGAUGUUUUUUCACGUUAUUUGCUCUGUUAUUAUGUAAAUUGAUCAUGAAUAAAUCUUAUUGCAAGUCUGAUUCUGGUUGAUACUAAUCAUUAAAGAAACAGGAGUCAGCGAUACUGCACAUAUAUAGACCCACUACCCAAAAGCGGGGUGAGGAGGAACCUCUGCUUCAGCAGAUCAGCAAGAGAUACUGUCAGCCAGUCUUUGUAGAACAAUUCUCUUGUUUUCCCCAUAUUUUCACUCUUUUCUGUGGCCCAGUAAUUGUCUUACGCUCAGUCCUAAAACAGAGAUAAUUUAUUGACAUGCAUUCAGUUCUGAGAAUAUUAAUGUUUUAAAUCUGCUUUGGAACGAUUUGACUUAUUUAUACCAAGUUUUAAAAAUAACUUUUUUCUAACCCACAUAAUCAGUCACUACAACACAUGUAAUUAUCACAUCUGUUAGAAGCAUUUUUAAUAUGCUGAAUUUGUCUUUUUUUAAGAAGCACUCUACAAAUUAGUAGUUAUUAAUAC
rnacentral:lncRNA from 1 species